GAUGAACGCUAGCGGCAGGCCUAACACAUGCAAGUCGAGGGAGAGGUUAUCUUCGGGUAACCAAAACCGGCGCACGGGUGCGUAACGCGUAUACAAUCUGCCUUUCACAUAGGGAUAGCCCGAAGAAAUUUGGAUUAAUACCUAAUGGUAUAUAAGAGCGGCAUCGUUUUUAUAUUAAAGCUACGGUGGUGAAAGAUGAGUAUGCGUUCUAUUAGCUAGUUGGAGAGGUAACGGCUCCCCAAGGCGACGAUAGAUAGGGGUUCUGAGAGGGAUGUCCCCCACACUGGUACUGAGAUACGGACCAGACUCCUACGGGAGGCAGCAGUGAGGAAUAUUGGACAAUGGUCGGAAGACUGAUCCAGCCAUGCCGCGUGCAGGAUGAAGGUCCUAUGGAUUGUAAACUGCUUUUGUAAGGGAAGAAUAAGGAGUACGUGUACUUUGAUGACGGUACCUUACGAAUAAGCAUCGGCUAACUCCGUGCCGACAGCCGCGGUAAUACGGAGGAUGCGAGCGUUAUCCGGAAUCAUCGGGUUUUAAGGGUCCGUAGGCGGGCUGAUAAGUCAGAGGUGAAAGCGCUUAUCUUAACUAACAACUGCCCCUUGAAACUGUCAGUCUUGAAUGAUUGUGAAGUAGUUGCAAUGUGUAGUGUAGCGGUGAAAGCUUUAUAUUACUCAAAACACCGAGGGCCAGGGUUUAUUACUAAAAAAUUCGACCCCUGCACCAAAGCGGGGGGGGACCGAUUAAAUCCUAGUAUCCAAAGCUAUUUCACAAUAUUUCAAGUUAUCAAACGGGGGACCCCCAGGGGGGGGCGGGGCCCCACCGGGGGUACUUUAUUGUC
rnacentral:rRNA from 1 species